ensembl:lncRNA
GGAGUGUGUCCUGUUGUGCGUUGGUGUGUGUGUGUGUGUGAUGGGUUUUUAAGGAUCAGGAGUGUGUCCUGUUGUGCGUUGGUGCGUGUGUGUGUGUGUGUGAUGGGUUUUUAAGGAUCAGGAGUGUGUCCUGUUGUGCGUUGGUGUGUGUGUGUGUGUGAUGGGUUUUUAAGGAUCAGGAGUGUGUCCUGUUGUGUGUUGGCGUGUGUGUGUGUGUGAUGGGUUUUUAAGGAUCAGGAGUGUGUCCUGUUGUGUGUUGGUGUGUGUGUGUGUGUGUGUGUGUGUAUGAUGGGUUUUUAGGGAUCAGGAGUGUGUCCUGUUGUGUGUGUGUGUGUGUGUGUGUGUGAUGGGUUUUUAAGGAUCAGGAGUGUUUCCUGUUGUGCGUUGGUGUGUGUGUGUGUGUGUGAUGGGUUUUUAAGGAUCAGGAGUGUGUCCUGUUGUGUGUGUGUGUGUGUGUGUGUGUGUGUGUGUGAUGGGUUUUUAA